CAUGACAUCAUGAAAGGUCCUUUAGCCCACCAGUCUCUGGUCUCCAGUGGAGGUUCCUACAAUAUAGGAUCUGCUCAGUGGAUAUCUUCUAUAUAAGAUCCUUCUCCUGAUUGACCCGUCAAGGAUGAAUAGGGACAGAGACAAGAUGGCGAAGAGUAUAAUAAAUCUCACCCUAGAGAUCCUCUUACAGCUUACUGGAGAGGACUACACAGUAGUGAAGAAGACCUCUAGUGGGCGCUGUCAGGACC